rnacentral:rRNA from 1 species
AUUGAACGCUGGCGGCAGGCCUAACACAUGCAAGUCGAGCGGAUCGGCCGACGGGUGCGGAAGGCCUAUGAAUAUGCCUGGUCGUGGGGGAUAAGGUUCGGUAACGGGCACUGAUACCGCAUACUAUUACAUUCAGCUAGGACGGAUUAGCUAGUUGGUGGGGUAAAGGCCUACCAAGACGACGAUCCGUAACUGGUCUGAGAGGAUGAUCAGUCACACUGGAACUGAGACACGGUCCAGACUCCUACGGGAGGCAGCAGUGGGGAAUAUUGGACAAUGGGCGAAAGCCUGAUGCAGCCAUGCCGCGUGUGUGAAGAAGGUCUUCGGAUUGUAAAGCACUUUAAGUUGGGAGGCGUUACCAACAGAAUAAGCACCGGCUAACUUCGUGCCAGCAGCCGCGGUAAUAC